GUUCAUUUCGAAUGUCUUCAAAUUUUGAGCAAAUUAAUUAUGAGCCACUUAUUCGCAUACGCCCUUUGUCAAAAUAAAUGACAGUACUCAGCAGUCGUACCAAAACGACACAACAAAACUUCUUCCGCUUGAGCCAAUAAAGGAAAAAAGGAAGGAGCCAUUCGGCAGAAAGCAAGUGUCGACGGAGCCGUUCAGUGCCGUUUUGUGGUGCCUCCAGUCUUGGGGAAUAAAAAUCAAAAGUGCGUGCGCGAGCAGGAUCGGAGAAAGCAAAUCGCAUCGCUGUAAGUUCCUGUGAAGGGCGGAAUUGUGUACGAAGCAGACGACGGAACGGUCCAUUUCGUUGGCCAUUCGGACACGCGCAACCUUCCGGCUGUAAAGAGCCACAAUCACCGCCAGCCCUCAAGACCACGGACGCAAAUCAACAAAAGCAAAUAGGCGAGGAAAACGGCCGUCGAUACCGGCUUCCGGCAGUAGAAACGCUGGCCUACGAUUGAAUAGCGGCGUGAAAUCACCUACACAAAAGACAAUCCAGAGGCGAAGUUGGCAAGGGCACCGACAAGCACGAGCUGAGAUAGAAUAACAAAGAAAGGCGUCUCUACUACAGGGUGAGUUACCCAAAAAAAAGUGCAAGCCUAUGGAGUGAGGCUAAUGUGGAGCCCUUACAGGGCGCCUUUUUUAUUUUCCCCUCUUCGCUUUAGGCAGACGAAUUCCUAGCUGGUGGAUGAACGGUGAACUCCGCUCCAAUACCGGAUUGAGACAGUUCCCGCAAAGCCCAAGAGAGUGCUGAACGUCACCGGACGGCAGGGUGUGACGAGCGCUGGAGCUCAAUUCGCUGGUAAUCCAGUCAAACUCAAGCGACGGGAAGAAAGGAAGCAACCGGUCUGAGGCCGGAAAUCAACCACGAAAAGAACGGCGGAGCGACCACCUGUCCGCGGCUGAGAGGAAGGAGCUAAUGCCUAGCGAUCGGCCGAGUGGCUCAACUAUAGCGAGAGUUGCAGAGCGUAGGCGGUCCGUGAGUACUAAAAACAUGGUGACUGUGGUCACAGAAGACUAGCCCAAAGGCUGAAGAAAGUAGUGUGCCAUCAGGCAGCAAUGACUGCUCGACAGAUAGAAAGUUAGGGACAGAUAGAGUAGAAGCUUAGCCCUGGGGGCGUGGGUGUGCAAUUGGCAAAACGAAUAUAUGAUGUGGCUCAAAUGAAUUAGUGGCUCUUUUCUUUCAUUUUGGCUUGAGGAAAACCUUAUAGAC